rnacentral:lncRNA from 1 species
UAGAUAGGAGAUUUCCGCGCGGGAAAACUACGAGUAGAGAAAUCAUAGAAGUUUGUGGUCUUCCCGAAAAUUUCUUAUCAUUUGUAGAAAUGGUGAGUUUAUGCUAGUAAAACAAACCGACAGACGAAAGAUUCUCACAAGUCUUUUCAUGUAAAGCAGCCAGACAGUUUAAUUCCAAUGAUGAGGAAAAUGAUGAUGCUAAUGAAAAUGAUGUUUCCAGCAAUGCGUCUUCUCUUGAUGAUAUGGUUUCCUUUAAUGGUAUUUGGCACAAGAGGGUCACGGUGUAGUAAUAGAGAAGUUUUGAUGGGGCUAUUACUAGAUUAUGAAGUUUUUUCCAAGAAUUGCUUUGGAUAUGCCAGCACCAAAGUAAAAAACAUGACUGAAAUGAGAGAAAAGAAUGGGAGAAACAACACAAGUCUACGUGGUAAAUUAUGAUGGUUCUUCAAAGGCAAUGGAGAUAGAAUUUUCUCUAAUAUUGUGGAGCAGGUCACUAGAAAAACAACAUUGGGUAUGCAUGUAUGGUCUCAGACGGAGACUCUACCGCCCACUCAGCAGCAACAAAUGCAAAGGUUUAUGGUGACACCACAAUAGAGAAGUUAGAAUGUGUCAAUUAUUGUCAUAAAAGAAUGGGGGCAGCUCUUAGGAGAAUAUGGAGGAUUGACUGAAAAUGCCUUCUAAGUACUAUUGUAAAGUACUACAACAUUGCCAUCAAAAAGCACUUAAGAAAUCCUGAGGAGAGCUAUCUUGGCUGGCUGAGCUGUUACACUGCAUGUCAACAGAUGAAAAUCUGCAUCAUCUGAGAUGUCCUGAUGACCCAAAGUCUUGGUGUUUUUGUAACAAAGCGGCAGCCAAAGGCAAGGCACCAGGAAAGCUUAAGAAAAAAAAUACACACUCUUGCAUAUGAAGUUGCUCGUGCCAUUUGCCCCAUGUAUGAAAGGAUAUCAGACCCCCAAUCAUCUGAAGAGAAUGCAUCAUGGUUGAACUCAAAAUGCCAAUGAAAUGCCACCAUCUGGGCUAGAUGUCCAAAGACAACAUUUGUGGGUGCCACAUACUGUAUGUCAAAUCAACUAUGUCACAGCUCAGUCAAGGCUCAGCUCACCUCUCCCAGAUGAUGAAACAUCUUCGAUGUUAUUCCAUCAAUUAUUUUGAAAGUCAACCAAAAGAAAAAAUAAGAAAAGAUAUGUAGGAAAGCAGAUCGUGCAACCAUCCCUGCAUCAGAGAGGCAAAGACAAGAACAUGUGCAGACAAAAAUGCUAAUAGUUGCCAACCAAGAAAGCUGUGAGGGUGAAAUGUAUGGUCCUGGUAUACUAGAAUUGACCUAAAUUAUAUGGUAGGAUGCCCAGUCUAGCAUAUAAACACUAAAAACUGUUUUUUAAAGUGAUCUGACAAAAUGUCUUUUGAGCUUAAAUCUUUAAACUUGAAUUUCUGCAAUUGCUGUUUUUCACAUCAGAGCUUGAAUACAAAACACUGUAUCUCAAGAAGUUCAAACGUCAUUCUUUAGAUCACCGUCUCUAGUGAACUUGUUCUACUUUUAUUUUUAGCUUACUGUAACAAGAGCACCUUCCCAUGUUUCAAUUGCCUGCUGGGACCAAUAAAGUUGAUCAUUGUUAUAAAGACACCAAAAGUUUUGGUAUAUGACAUGGUAUUGUGUGUAUGCAUUUUUGUAUCUCUCGAUCAAAAGUGAAAUCUUUCAUUGUAGGUACCCAAAAGCAUUUUUUUAUGUGCUGAAAAUAUGGUAUUUUAACACUAUGGUUUUAAAAAAAUUCAUAUUCAUAACAGAUUUUAAUUUUUGGAGUAGGUGCCUCAACUUACCUGUAAACGACUGUGAGCAUAUAUCUAAUUUCAAAACUUUGUAUUUCUAGCUAUUUUACCAACACAUUUAUUUUAGAUAUUCUGAUCUUGCAAAUAUUGUUCUACAAAUUUUCAAACCACAUAUGCAUCAAAAUAUUGUAUAUUUAGAGAACAAAUUUUGCACAGGAAUAAAUUCAUUUUUUGUUUAUUGUCACUUUUGUCGUCUUGUGAUGAGGAAAAAUGUGGGUAUGCAAUUUAGCUUUAGUACUGACAGCAAGUAAACUCUGACAUGCCACAUUUGCUGUCUCAUCUCCGACACUCACUCACAUUUAACAAGUUGCCACAAAAUUACAUUCUGUUUGCUUUAUUCUGCAACAGUACCAGUUUGUAGUCCCUUAAAAAUCAUUAUCACUGAAGCAUGGCUUUUGUGUACCAGAAAAUGGACAGGCAAGGGAAAAACUAACAAAAGCAUUUUUAAAUAUAAAUUGUAAUAUUUCCCACUUUCUCUCCAAACCUCUAAUCUUUUCUUGAAAUAACCUUUAUUCCAUGGUAUUUCUAAUCCUAGAAACACAAUAUACAGGGAGUAUUUUCAUAUGUACAUUACUUCCUGGGCAAUGAAAAAUAGACUUCACAAAAAGUUUUCCUGGGAAUAAUAAAAAAAA